rnacentral:rRNA from 1 species
CAAUAGCGUAUAUUAAAGUUGUUGCAGUUAAAAAGCUCGUAGUUGAAUUUCGGGUCCCCGCGCUCGGCGCUUCAUUGUGCCGUCGUGGUGUCCCUCCUCGCCGUCAGGCGUCCUUUACUGUGAAAAAAUUAGAGUGUUCAAAGCAGGCAGCCGCUUGAAUACAUUAGCAUGGAAUAAUGAGAUAGGAUCUUGUCUAUUUUGUUGGUUGCGGACAAUGAUAAUGAUUAAUAGGGAUAGUUGGGGGUGUCCGUAUUGAGCUGUCAGAGGUGAAAUUCUUGGAUUUGCUCAAGACGAACUACUGCGAAAGCAUUCACCAAGGAUGUUUUCAUUAA